GUAUUCUCUGUUCAGUGUACACGUUGGUGCGUGGUCAGAAAUCGGCCACACUUCGCCAGUUAGACAUGACUGUUGUAAAUUUGUCCAGGAUUUUCCAGGUAUGAUUUAUAAACUGUAGCUAGCUGUAGGGUACUACAGUUGUUGUUACAUUUAGGUGCAAGCUAAUCUGCCGCUUGCCUAUCAUAUGCUAGCUAACAAUAUGUAAAGCUACAAAUUGCUAAAAAAAUGCAGGUAAACUAAAUUUUUAUGAUUCACCUUUUAAAUUGAUUGAUUGAUUGAUUGAUUGAUUGAUUGAUUGAUUGAUUGAUUGAUUGAUUGAUUGAUUGAUUGAUUGAUUGUCAUUUAUGUUCCCUGCAAGUAAAGUAUAUAUCACUAUUGCUUUCAUUUUUAGAGAGAGAGAUACAGGGAUUGUUAUUUUUCCAUCAGCUGAUUACUUUUCAGAUGUGGACCUGAAACCUGGGAGUAACUACCUUGUCGAUGGCAGCACCCAGUCAUCCAUUAGCACGCCGGGAAGACAACAGACAUUAAGGUUCUUCUCAACUCCACCAUUCCGUCCACCUCAGCCUCUGCCUAAGACAUUUACAAGAGAAGACCAAGCCAAUGUAAGUGACAUAGCAAAGUUGGUGAGGACAGCUCUGCAGAUGGAGUCAGAAGUUGCCCUGACAGUUGAAGCAGGAAGGGUCACACCUGAAACGUGACUUGGACUUUUGGAAGAAAGAAGCAAGGAAGAUUGUGGCCUUCAGUAACGAUUUAUGAAGAGUGGACCAAGAAGAAGAAAAUGGUGAAUUGAGCAUAAAGUGUAUAAUGUUGGAGUGUAUAAAGCUUGUUACAGUAGUUCCAGGAAUAGGCCUUUUUAUGGCCUGUCCAGUUAUUCAGUAAAUAACUAAAAUUGUUUUAAGUUCGUCAGACGAGCACUUGGAACGAGUCCAUUCCACGAUAGAAAAGGUUGUGUUGGCAGCUGAAGCACUGCCAAGCAUUGCCACCAGUCUGAGGGAGUUAGUUCAUCUCAGCACAGGACUUACCAGACAUCAGUGGAAACAAUUAAGUCAUCCUUCAAAUGCCUCAUGUAACUCUAAGUAAUUAACAGUAGAUUAUUAGUGAGGUUUUUUUUUGUUCAUCAAAUCCUAUUUAGUGUUUAAAACAAUAUAUACAUAAUUGGAAUAUAGUGCAAACCUUAACCCUCAGAACUUUAUUUUAAAAAUAUAGGACUGUUUUAUAAAAAGUAGUUUAGAAGUAUAUUUUAUGAUCAAAAUAUACUGUAAAUCCAAACACAAUAUAAAUUCAUACAAUACCAUAUGGCAGACUGCCUGUAAAUAAAUAAAUUGAGAGAAGGCAACUGUAAAUCUCCUCACAUACUUACAAUUUGAUAUAUAUUUGAUAUCAAUGGUGGAUGCAAUGUUAUCUGCAUGCUGCCAAUCCUUAAUUGCAUGUCAGCAAUGCAUCAACAUUCUUCUUGAAGGAGGAGACAGUUGUGCUAGGUGCAGGGGGCAGUUGUGUUCUGACAAUCUAAUCCAGGUAGCAGGAUUUUCAGACAUCCUGAACCUGGCAAACAGUUUGUAGCUGUUUUAGCACAUUGUUUUUGUAACACACUGUUAAGACAUUGUUUUGUACUGUUAAUAGAUUUUAACAUAGAACAUUUUUACAUAUUCUAUAAAGUUAAGUCACGAAAAAGUAGAAGAUUUUGUGAUAUGGCAGAUGCUUUUACCAAAGUGACUGGGAAAACUAUUAAACAUUGUUUUAAAGAAUGUUUGUUUAAUUUGUCUUGAGAAGAAAAUGAAUUUAAACUUGGAAAAUCCAGGACCCUACACCGCGCUCAUCCGGAGGAUCCUUCCUAGGUCGCCUGGAGGCGACGUAGAGGGGGGGGCUCUGUGACACCUGGUGUCACCACCCAUUGCUGGGAGGUGCUAAUGUGUAGCAGGUGUUCCUUAUGUGGGUAAUCAGGGGUCUGGCAUUUAAUCCAUGACGGAGGCGCACUCCAGUCGCUGGUGUGUUACUCCAUGAGCGGAAGCCUUAUCGCUGCAUUUGUGUCUAUAAGUAUGUUGUCCAAGUUGACCCAGGUCUGAUGUACGUUUUGUAAGUUGCCUUUUUGAACCUGCUUCCAUGCUUCAUGUGCCUUUUGUUUUUUUGUUCAUAGACUACUAGUUUAAGAGGAACCGGUACUAGUGUAGUUCCAGCUGCUUGGUUCUUUCCGUGCCUUGGCACGCUCUUUUUGUUAGUUACAAUUUGUUAAGUACCUUGCCAUUGCAAGCCGUUUUUUGUUACGCUCCCUUGUUUUAUUAAAUACUGUGGAUAUACUCAUUGGUCUGCCUGCUUUUCUGCAAUUGGGUACCAGUUCUGCACAGCGUUGUAACAGAACACACCAGCCACUAUGGACCCAGCAGAGCAGGGUAAUUUAGUUUCGGCUGUUCGUACACAAGGAGCUACCCUUGGGCGAGCCAUG